rnacentral:rRNA from 1 species
UGGGGAAUAUUGGACAAUGGGCGGAAGCCUGAUCCAGCCAUGCCGCGUGUGUGAAGAAGGCCUUUUGGUUGUAAAGCACUUUAAGCGAGGAGGAGGCUCUUCUAGUUAAUACCUAGGAUGAGUGGACGUUACUCGCAGAAUAAGCACCGGCUAACUCUGUGCCAGCAGCCGCGGUAAUACAGAGGGUGCGAGCGUUAAUCGGAUUUACUGGGCGUAAAGCGUGCGUAGGCGGCUGAUUAAGUCGGAUGUGAAAUCCCUGAGCUUAACUUAGGAAUUGCAUUCGAUACUGGUCAGCUAGAGUAUGGGAGAGGAUGGUAGAAUUCCAGGUGUAGCGGUGAAAUGCGUAGAGAUCUGGAGGAAUACCGAUGGCGAAGGCAGCCAUCUGGCCUAAUACUGACGCUGAGGUACGAACGCAUGGGGAGCAAACAGG